AUUGAACGCUGGCGGCAGGCCUAACACAUGCAAGUCGAACGAGUGGCGGACGGGUGAGUAAUGUCUGGGAAACUGCCUGAUGGAGGGGGAUAACUACCGGAAACGGUAGCUAAUACAGCAUACCAUCAGAGGUGCCCAGAUGGGAUUAGCUAGUUGGUGGGGUAACGGCUCACCAAGGCGACGAUCCCGAGCUGGUCUGAGAGGAUGCCCAGCCGCCCUGAGACUGAGACCCGGUCCAGACUCCUGCGUGAGGCAGCUGUGGGGAAUAUUUCACAGUGGGCGCGAGCCUGAUGCGGCCAUGCCGCGUGUAUGAAGAAGGCCUUCGGGUUGUAAAGUACUUUCGUCGGGGAGGCGUUACCCGCGGAAGAAGCACCGGCUAACUCCGUGCCAGCAGCCGCGGUAAUAC
rnacentral:rRNA from 1 species